AGAGUUUGAUCAUGGCUCAGGACGAACGCUGGCGGCGUGCUUAAUACAUGCAAGUCGAACGAGGUCCAUGCAGUAGCAAUACUGCGGAAGACCGAGUGGCGAACGGGUGAGUAACACGUGAGUAACCUGCCCCGGAGACCGGGAUAACACCGGGAAACCGGUGCUAAUACCGGAUGUCCUCGUCGGGCCGCAUGACCUGACGAGGAAAUGGAUUCCGCUCCGGGAGGGACUCGCGGGCUAUCAGCUUGUUGGUGGGGUAACGGCUUACCAAGGCUACGACGGCUAGCUGGUCUGAGAGGACGACCAGCCACACUGGGACUGAGACACGGCCCAGACUCCUACGGGAGGCAGCAGUAGGGAAUCUUGCGCAAUGGGCGAAAGCCUGACGCAGCAACGCCGCGUGGGGGACGAAUGCCUUCGGGUUGUAAACCCCUUUCAGCAGGGACGAAAUUGACGGUACCUGCAGAAGAAGCCCCGGCCAACUACGUGCCAGCAGCCGCGGUAAUACGUAGGGGGCGAGCGUUGUCCGGAUUCAUUGGGCGUAAAGAGC
rnacentral:rRNA from 1 species